rnacentral:lncRNA from 1 species
AUCAUUUCAAUAUGAUAAAUGACAUAAUCUUUCAAAAAAUUUCAAGAGGGAUAGGAUCAGGAGUCAUCAACUAUUUCAACCGACUUGUUAAAGAAGACUCCCAUUUUAGGACAUCCAAUAAUCCAACAAGUAAUCCCUUUUUGGAUGGAGAACGUAUAAAACCAAGGCUCAGUUGGAAACCAAAAGAGAACUCAAUAAUGAUUCUUUAAGUCAACAUCACAAAACUAAUUAUCAUAAUGAGCAUAGAAAAAGCACCCUGUAAACCCUUCAUACAUAAUGCCUCUGGGCUCUGGUCAAUAAUUAAUUGCAGAUUGUUGAAGGAUUUUACACAGAACAUAUAGCCUUCCAGUAAGUGCAAAAAAUAUGAAAAGCGUAACAAUUAAGAUCAAGAUCAGAGUUACUGCCCAGGUUAUGUAGUUAUAGAUACCCUAAAUGGGACCCGGUCCAAUUUCUAGUGAAGCUAUCAUCAUUCCUAAUCCAAUGUCAAAUGGCAGGAGCAAAAAAAUGAAGAAAUACAAGAUGGCAAUUUGUUAAUCUCUGAAAUUACCUUGAGAUAAGUUAAUAUAAAUUGGAAGCUUUGUUUCCCUUUCCAUGUUUACACAAUAUCACCCCACAAGGCCAACAUAAUGAUCAACGAAGUAGACAAUAACAAAGGGAAAUUUAGAAAGCUUAUAGUGGCACAAAUAAUGUAGGAUAGACAAUCCAGGAUUAAUUAUCUAGACCUUGUUUUGAACACAUAAAUAGCUUAUGGUACAAAAUGGUUGAACAAUUUACGCUGAGAACUUCAUAAGAUAAAAUACUUCAAUGCAGGCAAGAAGGAUCCUCAAAG